rnacentral:rRNA from 1 species
CCUACGGGAGGCUGCAGUGGGGAAUAUUGGACAAUGGGCGAAAGCCUGAUCCAGCCAUGCCGCGUGUGUGAAGAAGGCCUUCGGGUUGUAAAGCACUUUCAGUGGGGAAGAAAGCCUUGGGGCUAAUACCCUCGAGGAAGGACAUCACCCACAGAAGAAGCACCGGCUAACUCCGUGCCAGCAGCCGCGGUAAUACGGAGGGUGCGAGCGUUAAUCGGAAUUACUGGGCGUAAAGCGCGCGUAGGCGGUCUGAUAAGCCGGUUGUGAAAGCCCCGGGCUCAACCUGGGAACGGCAUCCGGAACUGUCAGACUAGAGUGCAGGAGAGGAAGGUAGAAUUCCCGGUGUAGCGGUGAAAUGCGUAGAGAUCGGGAGGAAUACCAGUGGCGAAGGCGGCCUUCUGGACUGACACUGACGCUGAGGUGCGAAAGCGUGGGUAGCAAACAGGAUUAGAUACCCUAGUAGUC